ACUUAGAAAGCUUUUAGAGCAUUGCGUUGAAGGUGCAAAGGAGUUUAUUUACUCUAGGUA
rnacentral:tRNA from 1 species